UACAGAGGGGGCAAGCGUUAUUCGGAAUUAUUGGGCGUAAAGGGCGCGUAGGCGGCCUUUCAAGUGACGGGUGUAAUCCCCCGGCUUAACCGGGGAACUGCCUGUCAGACUGGGAGGCUUGAGACCGGGAGAGGUGAGUGGAAUUCCCAGUGUAGCGGUGAAAUGCGUAGAUAUUGGGAGGAACACCAGUGGCGAAGGCGGCUCACUGGACCGGUACUGACGCUGAUGCGCGAAAGCGUGGGGAGCAAACAGG
rnacentral:rRNA from 1 species